rnacentral:tRNA from 1 species
GCCUGGGUGGUGGAAUGGUAGACACAGGGGACUUAAAAUCCCUGGCCGUAAUGGUGUGCGGGUUCAAGUCCCGCCCUGGGCACCA